rnacentral:lncRNA from 1 species
GAACUGAAGUGAAAGAGUCAGGGGCAAGAUCUUGUUCCAGGAUAAGGAGCGGGAACCUGACCCAGCAGGUCGGUGCCUCUCAAACUUUCAUAUGUGUGCAAAUUCCUUGGAGACUGAUUCUGAUUCUGUAGGCUUAGGCUGGGGCCUGAGAUCCCCUGGUUUUAACAAACUCCCGGGUGAAGAUGCUGCUGCCGGUCCGUGGACCACACUUUCAAUAGCAAGGCAUUAGGAAGUGCUAGAAAGCACUGAUGGAUUUAAAGAAGGAGAAUGUCGUGUGAUUGACCCCUGGAUUUCAAAGCAGAUGAGUAGUGUUGUGCUGCCAGCUUUAAGAGAAAACAGAAUUUUCAAUUAUAAAUUCUAACAUUAGAUGAGUGAAACUCUAUCCAGCUCUAACAAGGAAAUUGAGGCUUCCAGAAGAGCAGUGUUGAAAGGAGCUGCCAGCAUCUGUGAGAACAGAAUUAGAAGGGAACUUACUCAAGGCCUGCAGUGGAUUGAGGGCUAUUUGUGUUUCCAAAGUAGACCAACAACACUGAGAAAUGAGUUCUGAAGCUGAGCGACUCCAAGAACUGUUUGAGUAUUUUUCUGUUUUUCUGUGAGUGGGAAGGGCAAAGCGACGAGUGACUUUCUAUGGCGCCGCGUGUUCCAUCAUUGCGAGGACAGGCUGGGCAACACUUUCUGAACCACAUUUCCAUCUCUCAACCUAGUCAACAAGCGUGGAUUAAGUCGGACAGAUAGGACACACGCUGAGCACUGUGCUAGGGCCUGGAGAGGUGAGGAUGAAUAAUGCCUGGCUCCUGUCCAGCAGGAGUUCAGAGUUUUACGGAAGAAAUUUGGACACGUCAACAUGCAUUUUUUAAAGGGGCUUAUAAAUAUGUAAGAUAAUCUUUGGAGUCCAAAAAAGAGAAUGGUUGAUUCUCCCUGGAAAAGUCAAGGAAGGCUAACAAAGGAAUGACAAUUCUGCUGAGAUUUAAAGACUGGCAGAUUUCAUACGCGGUCUAGGAUGGGAAGAGCAUUCCAGCCCAAAAGGAG